UUAAAGGCGAUAAUGGGGAUGAGUAAGUCGGGGGACCCUUACAGAGAGCGGGGGGAGGUGCAAGCCCGCAGGGAAAACCGGUUGAACAUGGCCCCGGAGCUGCCGGUUUGAAAGUCGCCAGUAGGGCCGGACGGUGGAGCACCGUUAUUUGCUUGUUUAGUGCAGUUAAUGCGCUACUGAGACUGCCCCCGUAAGGUGGCAGUGAAUCAGGGUGGUACCGCGGGUUCAUACCCCGCCCCUGCA
rnacentral:ncRNA from 1 species